GAGAUAUUAGAUUAUCAUAUUUUACUAUAAAAACACUUGUUAAUCAUAUUUUACCCUAAACCUAACUUAUAUGUAGCCGCUCCAAAGUCUUAUGCGUCAUUCUUUAGGAUGGAUUACAAGAAAGAAAAAAAAAUUCAAUGUUCUUCAAUCUUGAACAAAACAUUUUUUCUUCCCUUACAAUAUAUCUCGCAUAAUGAUGUUGAUGUUGUUUUUGUAUUUUUGUAAUAAUCUUCCUAUUUUAUCAAUCAAAGAAAACAUUGAAAAAU
rnacentral:lncRNA from 1 species